ACCAUCCUCCAUUUGUAACUUGACAUCCCUUGAGUAUCUUGUUCUCUCAAAAAACACUUUGGAAGGAACAAUUCCACAAUGCUUCGGAAACUUGAGCUCUUUGGCCAUCUUUGGUCGUCGCAUUCCAUCAACAUUUAGCAAGGAGUGUAGUCUUGUGUCCAUCAAUUUGAAUGAUAAUAAAUUGCAAGGACCAUUACCUAAAUCCUUGAUCAAUUGCCAAAGUCUACAAGGCCUCGAC
rnacentral:lncRNA from 1 species